rnacentral:rRNA from 1 species
UACGCAGGGGGCAAGCGUUGUCCGGAUUUAUUGGGCGUAAAGAGCGUGUAGGCGGCCUGACAGGUCUGCUGUGAAAACUCGAGGCUCAACCUCGAGAUGUCGGCGGAAACCGUCUGGCUAGAGUCCGGAAGAGGAGAGUGGAAUUCCUGGUGUAGCGGUGAAAUGCGCAGAUAUCAGGAGGAACACCGAUGGCGAAGGCAGCUUGCUGGGACGGUACUGACGCUGAGACGCGAAAGCGUGGGGAGCAACAGG